rnacentral:rRNA from 1 species
UACGAAGGGGGCUAGCGUUGUUCGGAAUCACUGGGCGUAAAGGGCGCGUAGGCGGCCGAUCAAGUCGGGGGGUGAAAGCCUGUGGCUUAACCACAGAAUGGCCUUCGAUACUGUUUGGCUUGAGACCGGAAGAGGUUAGUGGAACUGCGAGUGUAGAGGUGAAAUUCGUAGAUAUUCGCAAGAACACCAGUGGCGAAGGCGGCUGACUGGUCCGGUUCUGACGCUGAGGCGCGAAAGCGUGGGGAGCAAACAGG